AUGAUUGGUGAUUUCCGUGACCGAAUGACAAUACCAGACAAAUUUGUGCAAAAAUUUAGGGGUCAAAUAACAAGAACUGUAAAGUUGGAAUCGCGCAAUGGAAAUACCUUCGAUGUCCAUGUUACAGAGGACUUGCACAAAGUGGUUCUCCAGUCUGGAUGGGAGGUGUUUGUAAGUGCUCAUGGCAUAAGCAUGGGUGAUUUCCUGGUAUUCAACUAUGACGGGAACUCUUGGUUCAAGGUUCUAAUAUUUGAUCCGAGUGGUUGCGAGAGAUUGUCGUCAAGCUGCCUCCCGAUGAAAACUGCUCCCCAUGAUGGCCAAGAGUGUGGAGAAAAACUCACUGGAACCUUGAGCAUGCGCCAUGAUCUUCCCAUGAUGGGAUCACCACAAAGUGAAAGGGGGACUAUGAUACAAUGGGAUAACUCAAACCAUGUGGAAAAUAGUAUCGUUCUUGGUUCAUCAAGCGCUCCAUCGUCCGACUCAUCAGGGGACGGUCUAUCUUUGGAAGAUAACCAGGAAUUGUCUUUUGUUCCAAGCCCAAUUCUCCGAAACAGGGCUAAUCUAACGGAUAUUCAGGAGAGGAAGAUGAAUGAAAAAGUCGAUGCCAUCCAUUCCAAAAUACCCAUCUAUGGGACUGUCAUGACAAAGUGUAACAUUUUUGGAAGCCCUUGUAUUCUGGAUUUAUCUAGCAAAUAUGCUGAUGAAUAUCUUCCGCGCGAGGACCAAACAUUGAUGCUCCAACGCCGCGACAAGAGUUGGAAAGUACAGUUCCAUAUAAACAAGAACAACACUAAGAGGCUUUUUCAAGGAUGGGGAGAAUUUGCAGACGACAACAAUCUGAAGGUAGGAGACCUUUGUCUCUUCGAGCCCUUGCAAAAGAAAAAUCGUGUGAUGAAUGUCCAUAUCAUACGCAAAGCAUGA
rnacentral:rRNA from 1 species